GACGAACGCUGGCGGCGUGCUUAACACAUGCAAGUCGAACGGAAAGGCCCUGCUUGCCGGGUACUCGAGUGGCGAACGGGUGAGUAACACGUGGGUGAUCUGCCCUGCACUUCGGGAUAAGCCUGGGAAACUGGGUCUAAUACCGGAUAGGAGCCAUUUUUAGUGUGAUGGUUGGAAAGUUUUUUCGGUGUAGGAUGAGCUCGCGGCCUAUCAGCUUGUUGGUGGGGUAAUGGCCUACCAAGGCGGCGACGGGUAGCCGGCCUGAGAGGGUGGACGGCCACAUUGGGAAUGAGAUACGGCCCAGACUCCUACGGGAGGCAGCAGUGGGGAAUAUUGCACAAUGGGCGCAAGCCUGAUGCAGCGACGCCGCGUGGGGGAUGACGGCCUUCGGGUUGUAAACUCCUUUCGCUAGGGACGAAGCUUUUUGUGACGGUACCUAGAUAAGAAGCACCGGCUAACUACG
rnacentral:rRNA from 1 species